GCCGGGUUGGCGCAACGGUUGACGCGGAUGCCUCAAAAGCAUCUGUCCGAGAGGACAUACGGGUUCGAGUCCCGUACCCGGUACCA
rnacentral:tRNA from 1 species